GCGAGAGACCUGAUCCGGAGAGGACGGAUGAGGAGGAGAGGGGAGUCGAAGAGCGCACCAGUAGCUUCUUUCUCCACAUGAAGACUGAUGUGGUUUACCCAGAAGGUUGUUGCCAAGGCAACGCCGGGACGGGAGGCGAGGAGCGUGAUUCCAUGACAACUGACUUCAGCGCUCCCCGUCACCUUUCUGGACACGCAUUUCCAACCGAUAAUAAGUGAGGAGAUUUGAUUUUUAAUGUUGUGUUUGUGAGAGCCAAUGAACAAAAAGUCAUCUAAUAAGGGGGCAUACUGCACGCAUCAGCGUAGAUUUACACUAUUAGAGA